rnacentral:rRNA from 1 species
UGGGGAAUAUUGGACAAUGGGGGCAACCCUGAUCCAGCGACGCCGCGUGUGUGAAGAAGGCCUGCGGGUUGUAAAGCACUUUUAGUGGGGAUGAAAAGCUCAGGGCUAAUACCUCUGGGUCUUGACCUAACCUACAGAAAAAGCACCGGCUAACUCUGUGCCAGCAGCCGCGGUAAUACAGAGGGUGCGAGCGUUAAUCGGAAUUACUGGGCGUAAAGCGUGCGUAGACGGUUUCGUAAGUCGGAUGUGAAAUCCCCGGGCUCAACCUGGGAAUUGCAUUCGAAACUGCAAGGCUAGGGUGCGGAAGAGGGAAGCGGAAUUUCCGGUGUAGCGGUGAAAUGCGUAGAUAUCGGAAGGAACAUCAGUGGCGAAGGCGGCUUCCUGGUCCAGCACCGACGUUCAGGCACGAAAGCGUGGGGAGCAAACAGG